rnacentral:rRNA from 1 species
UACGAAGGGGGCUAGCGUUGUUCGGAAUUACUGGGCGUAAAGCGCGCGCAGGCGGUUCUUCAAGUCAGUGGUGAAAGCCCGGAGCUCAACUCCGGAAUUGCCAUUGAAACUGUGGAACUUAAGGAUGAGAGAGGUGAGUGGAAUUCCCAGUGUAGAGGUGAAAUUCGUAGAUAUUCGGAAGAACACCAGUGGCGAAGGCGGCUCACUGGACUGGUAUUGACGCUGAGGUGCGAAAGCGUGGGGAGCAAACAGG